UCAGGACUGGAUGUAGAAUAUGGAACGGAAGAAUUAGGCGUGGAUACUGCAUUUUUACCUGAGCAACGGGUGAACAUUGGCGCUGUUGGCUAAGGCCUCUGGUGUUGGGGCGAGCGGGCUUGGACAGAGCAAAUGAGGUCUCUGUCGGGGUCCUUUCAGAGCUCACGAUGAGUGCUGAAACCAAAGAGCCCCAAGCAAGCGAGCGCCGAGUCCUGAAACAUUUUUUCCUUGAUGAGUACAGGGUUUGACGAGUUCUGAAGCUGACAAGUACCAAGCCAUUGAAUCUGUCUAAAGAAGAGGAAAAACCUCCGGUGCCAUCAAGAUGAUGAUAAUCCUCAGCAAUUUAUAUUCCAUUCAUUUUCUCCACAUAUUUUAGAAUUAUUCAUUUCCCAGCAUUCUGAAGUCCAGUUGUGCUGGAAGCUGAGAUGCAGUCAGAUUUUCUUCUUGCAAAGAGAACAAAAUGAAGUUAAAGAUAUAGAUCUGGAUCCUGGCAUCCCAACCUGAGAUAAUAGCACUUAAGGGCAUUUAUAAUUUUCACAAAGAAUGAAAUAAAAUUCUCAUCACAAAAUUUAUUUUCAUUUACUUAUGAAUAGAAUUAUAAACAAUUUAGAGGAGGUGAUUGUUAUGAAAUUAAACAAAACUAAUGGUUUUAGAUUCUUUAAUCAAUAUUCAGGUUUAGAAAAAUCUUUGCAGACUACUUACAUCUUUAUUGCUGACCUACAGAAGUUUGCGAUGCAGAGCUUGCACUAGUUAUAAAUACAUAUAAUUUUAUUGAUUCAUAUACACUACACCUACUGUCAGGAAGGGUCUGAGGUGAUUUACAAUAAAGGUACAAGAGUAAUAACCUGAAAC